rnacentral:rRNA from 1 species
GACGAACGCUGGCGGCGUGCCUAAUACAUGCAAGUUGAGCGCUGAAGGUUGGUACUUGUACCAACUGGAUGAGCAGCGAACGGGUGAGUAACGCGUGGGGAAUCUGCCUUUGAGCGGGGGACAACAUUUGGAAACGAAUGCUAAUACCGCAUAAAAACUUUAAACACAAGUUUUAAGUUUGAAAGAUGCAAUUGCAUCACUCAAAGAUGAUCCCGCGUUGUAUUAGCUAGUUGGCGAGGUAAAGGCUCACCAAGGCGAUGAUACAUAGCCGACCUGAGAGGGUGAUCGGCCACAUUGGGACUGGGACACGGCCCAAACUCCUACGGGAGGCAGCAGUAGGGAAUCUUCGGCAAUGGACGAAAGUCUGACCGAGCAACGCCGCGUGAGUGAAGAAGGUUUUCGGAUCGUAAAACUCUGUUGGUAGAGAAGAACGUUGGUGAGAGUGGAAAGCUCAUCAAGUGACGGUAACUACCCAGAAAGGGACGGCUAACUACGUG